GCCUGAGAAACGGCUACCACAUCUAAGGAAGGCAGCAGGCGCGUAAAUUACCCAAUCCUGACUCAGGGAGGUAGUGACAAGAAAUAACGGACCGAAGCCUAUGUUUCGGGAUUGCAAUGAGUAGAAUUUAAACCCCUUUACGAGGAUCAAUUGGAGGGCAAGUCUGGUGCCAGCAGCCGCGGUAAUUCCAGCUCCAAUAGCGUAUAUUAAAGUUGUUGCAGUUAAAAAGCUCGUAGUUGGAUUUCUGGGAGAGUGCCAAUGUCGUCUUGUUGACUGUGCAGCGGCGCUCUUCCAUCCUUCUGUUAACUUUUCGGGUAUUCAUUUACUCGUCUAGAGCUCAGAUAUUUUACCUUGAGAAAAUUAGAGUGUUCCAGGCAGGCUCGCGCCGGAAUACAUUAGCAUGGAAUAAUAGAAUAGGACUUUAGUCUCCUUUGUUGGUUUGAGGGACUGAAGUAAUGAUUAAUAGGGAUAGUUGGGGGCAUUAGUAUUUAAUUGUCAGAGGUGAAAUUCUCGGAUUUGUUAAAGACUAACUUAUGCGAAAGCAUUUGCCAAGGAUGUUUUCAUUAAUCAAGAACGAAAGUUAGGGGAUCAAAGACGAUCAGAUACCGUCCUAGUCUUAACCAUAAACUAUGCCGACUAGGGAUCGGAGGCGCGCUUUAUCCGCCUUCGGCACCUUAUGAGAAAUCAAAGUCUUUGGGUUCUGGGGGGAGUAUGGUCGCAAGGCUGAAACUUAAAGGAAUUGACGGAAGGGCACCACCAGGAGUGGAGCUUGCGGCUCAAUUUGACUCAACACGGGAAAACUUACCAGGUCCAGACAUAGUGAGGAU
rnacentral:rRNA from 1 species